UAGGCGUAAAUGAUGCGAGUUAAGUGUGGGGGCAUCUACGAGAUGGCCCUGUGCUGUAGGGUAGCCGUUAAACUCGCUGCCUGGGGAGUACGGUCGCAAGGCUGAAACUUAAAGGAAUUGGCGGGGGAGCACUACAACGGGUGGAGCCUGCGGUUUAAUUGGACUCAACGCCGGAAAACUCACCGGGGGCGACAGCAAUAUGAAGGCCAAGCUGAAGACUUUGCCGGAUUAGCUGAGAGGAGGUGCAUGGCGUAGUCGUGU
rnacentral:rRNA from 1 species